rnacentral:rRNA from 1 species
GAAAUCUACGUAGGGGUUUGGUCCUGGCCUUAUUAUUAGUUAUUAGUAAACUUACACAUGCAAGAAUCCCCAUUCCUGUGAGAACGCCCUCUAAACCAUCAAUGGUAAAAAGGAGCUGGUAUCAAGCACACUAAUAAGUAGCUCGUAACGCCUCGCUUAGCCACACCCCCACGGGAUACAGCAGUGAUAAAAAUUAAGCAAUAAACGAAAGUCUGACUAAGUUAUACUAUUUAGGACUGGUAAAUCUCGUGCCAGCCACCGCGGUCUUACGAUUAGGCCAAACUAAUAAACAACCGGCGUAAAGCGUGUUUUAGAGUAUAAAUAAUAAAUAAAAUCAAAUCUUAACUAAGCUGUAAAAAGCCUUAGCUAAUGUAAGAUACAUAACGAAAGUAAUUUUAAAAAAUCUGAUUACACGAUAGCUAAGACCCAAACUGGGAUUAGAUACCCCACUAUGCUUAGCCCUAAACAUAAAAAAUUAUUAAACAAAAUUAUUCGCCAGAGUACUACUAGCAAUAGCUUAAAACUCAAAGGACUUGGCGGUGCCUUACAUCCCUCUAGAGGAGCCUGUUCUAUAAUCGAUAAACCCCGAUAUACCUCACCAAUCUUUGCUAAUCAGCCUAUUACCGCCUCUUCAGCAAACCCUAAAAGGAGUCUGAGU